CUGGACUCAUUUCAGGACUCUGAGCAGAGUUCUUAGGUCUGUAAGCCAAGCCACUUCUGUUUCUCUUUUGAGUUGCUAUAAAGUACAGACGAUUCUACCAACCUUGACACAAACGCCCAGCUGCCCCCAGUUCAGUGCCACAGAGAAAAGCCUUGCAGAACAGGUUGAGUUUGUGGAUGGGCAUGGGGUAGAAGGUAUCAUCUCUUCUCUAUCAAUGACUUGGGUGAUACUUCUGGCAACAAAACAGACAGUUCUCGGCCUCUGUGUUUUCAUUGUCCAACUGAAGAUUAGACAAGAGGCAGCAUGGGGUGGUGGAUAAAUCGUGGACCAGGAUUGAAGCGAAGAUCUGCUCAUCUGGGACACUCACCAGUCGUCCUCAGGUUCUGAAGAGAACUCACCGGUUGUAGAGUCUGUGUUAAUCACCCAGCAUUAAUAUUUCCAUUGCUCCAUCAUCAUGUGUAAGCCUGUCAACAGCGUUCUUCUCCAGAAGUAAACUUGCUCAACCUUUAGUUUCACAUCAGUGAAGGUGGAUUCUUUCACCAAGAUGGACUUGUUUGUUCUCAGGAAAUCCAUACAGCCCUCGAUGAAGAGUUCAGAAACUCUUUUUAUGCAUUAAAAGCACCUACACAAUUUGAUGGUUUAAUACAACAAGUUUUUCCUCAUAAUUCUGUGGGUCAGCAGUUUGGGCUGGGAUCAGCUGGGCUGUUCCUCUGUUGGUUUUCCUGAGGACACUCGUGACUGCUGUCAUCAGGCAGUUCCACUGGGGCUGAGUGAUCCAACAUGACUCACUUACAUGCCUGGCUAUGGGUGACAGCUCUUCUCCGGACCUUACUCCCCACAAGCUUUCUCAUCCUCCAGCCAGCUGGACUGGACUUUUCCACACAGUGUUCUCAGGGUCUCAAGAGAGCGAGAGCAGAAGCUGCCAGGCCACUUGAGGUCCAGACUUGGAACUAACACCAUCACUUCUACUGCAAUUUAUUGUUCAAAGCAGGACAUUAAGCACCCCUAUUCAAGGGGGUAGAGAAAUAGACUCUACCUCUUGAUGGGGGAAGCAAAGGCACCUGAAAACAGAAGUGGGAGAAAUCUGUGACCGUUUUUUGCAGUCUUUCACAAGGAGAAAAUAAUCUUACCUGGACAAAGAAGAGGCUUCACCCCAGUGUUCUUUCAACUUUAACAUGAACAUGAAUCACCUUAGGAACUUGUUACAAUGCAGGUUCUGAUUCAGUUGGUCUGGUGUGGGACUGAAGGUAUUUCUAACAAGCUCUCAGGUGAUGCUGAUGCAGCUGGUUCACAGAGUACAGUUGGUGAACCAAGGUUCUAAUCACUGACAUGGGGCUGCCUAUGAGUGGACCAGAUGGAUAAAGCAGAGACCUUCAUUUUAAGGGGUCCAGCAGAUCAGGUGACCACUUAAUGUCCCCUGAAAUGUCAAGAAAAAAAGAGUCCAGCCCAAAGGUUCAGCCUCUCCAUCAGAUGUCCAGAUGCAGAACAGCAACCCAAGUCCCUUCUGGAAGCAGCCCUCUCCCUCCUGGCAGCUGACAGAAGUCUCUCUGGCCAGGCCGGCCUUUUGGCUGCUCUGCAUAUGGAAGUUCAAUUACUGUCAAUGGGAGGCCCAUCGGCAGGGUGAGGGCAGAAUACACAAUGGAGAUCGGUGUACCAGAUAGGCGCCUAGAUCAAAGAAGAACCCAGAGUUUGUGAAGUCCUUUCAUCCUCCCUGAUGAAAGGGAGAAGCUUACUGCUGUUUUCAUGGCUCUGCAUGCCCGGGGAAAGAGGAAGGCCACAGGAAGGUGACAGCUGAGGCAGGGUAUAACAGCAGGUCCCCAGGGUGGGUCAUUCACUGGGCUGACAAUCCAGUUGAUGCUUGCUUGGGUUGGGGCUCUGUGCUAAUUUGGAUGCUGACAGCCAGGUGACAGCAGCAGAGGGAAAGUAAGCUGAGAAGCAGAGAGGGGGAACCUUGAAAUGAUGCCUCUAAACGAUGGUUGACUUGUUUGUGACAUCACACCCCUAAGGCAUAGCUCUUUCCCCUGGGAGGGAUGCUGAGUGGCAAGUAGGCAGGCUGGGUACAUUUCCUUUUGGGAUGUGGUAGCGACAGUGUCCUACAGAGUCAGACUGGUGGCUUUAACAUCACAGGGCUUUGUCCAGCUGGAUCCGGAUAUCCAUUUGUCUAGAUUCCAUUUUCUCUGCUUCCUUUUUUAUUCCAGUAGAUAUAGCAGGCUUUCUCCCUGUAGCCAUGCAGAAGAGAUACAACUCAGAGGUGAUUCCUCUCAAAGGACAUAUUAGAUUCUUGAAGAGAGUCUAACAGGUUUAAGUGGGUCAGAUGCCAUGACUCAACAGCUUCCCCUUGAUCCUUUAAUCUCACAUCUGAAGCAUAAGACCUAUCCAGGUUACUUGGGGCAGCACCACCAUUGUACCAUUAAGGCUUCUCUUUCAGAAGGAUGAAUAAUCCAUCUGCAGCACUAUUUUACACUCUAGUUCAAUUCAAGACUCUGAAUAUGAUUUAUAAGUGUGAGUGAUUAUUUUAAGAUCAACCAGGGUUAAGCCAGGGAAAUUCUGUCCUCUGGUAGGGAGCCUCAAUGACCAGACCACUGUAAAGCCCCAGGAAUGCCAAGAACUCUGAAGAAGAAAGAUUCACCUCUAAGUGAGUUGGAGGAGGCAAAGACAAAAAACAAAAAACAAACAGUACAGGCCUUAGACUAAGGAGUGUGGGAAUGAGUUUCACCUCCAUUUCCAGCAACUGCCACGCAUAGAGUCUCUUCCAAAAAUGCCGGUGGCCUCAAAGAAGAGACAGCUGCUUCCCCAGCCCCUCAUUCAUCACCUGCUUGCUGGCCUAGGACUGAUAAGACAGAUCCAGAUCAAAUUACCUGGCAGCUGGGAGAGCAAGGAGAUAAGGAAAGGCAAGCUUAGGAGAAGUUCAGUAGAGUAGCAAAGAUCAAAUUGUGUAUUAAAUUUUCCAGGAACUAAAACCUUGCUCCCUCUGCAAACCCAGGGGAGGCACCUCCAAUCAGUCAGCACCAAACAGUGUUCCCAGGAGAAAAGCAAUGCCUUCAGCUUCUACUAGGAAUUAAGAAAACAGAGUACUGAGACCAAUUUAUUAUCACGCAGUUGGAUGAUAGGAAAAUGAAAACAAAGGUUAGAGGUGAACAUUAUAGAGGAGCCGAGUGGCCAAUGGCCAGAGAAACUUCAGGCAACAGAAGGAACACUGGGCUGAGCAAAAGACUUGGAUUCUUGUUCUAGCUCCAUCUCUCUCCCUUUGAAAAUGCACUUGAACCCCUCUGGGCUUUAUUUUUUUUUAUUUAUUUAUUUAUUUAUUUAUUUAUUUAUUUAUUUAUUUAUUUAUAAAAUGGUGGGGUGAGGAUUUCUUCAAGCUAAGAUCUUCCUGGCUUGAAGCUCUUAAAAUUUCUUGUUACUGCAGUCUUCCUAAGACAUUCCAUCUGAUGGUUUAUUCUUUUGACUCUGCCAUUUUACUCAACUAAACCUCAAAAUUCUUGACUAUGGAAGCCUCCAGAGGUGUUGUUAAAGCUUUAACUCUUUCAUUAAAAGCCAUGUGACUUGCUUUAUCCAAUGGGAGGUUAGUAGAUGUGACACAAACAAAUGCUCGAAAGAGUACUUGCAUGUUUCCAUUUACGUUUCUGUUCUUGCCUUCUGUCAUCACCAUGACAACAUGCCCAGUCUGGCUCCUGGAGGAUGGGACACACAACGUGGGAACCGGCAAGUCACCAGAGUCAUCUCAGCCAAGAUCAACCAAUAGUCAAUUACCAGGAACGUGAGAGAAUUCUGAGACCAGGACUGCUCAGCCACCUCUGCCUAAAAUACCAACACACAGAACAGUAAAGUGAAUGGAUGUUUAUUAUCCUAAGCCACUAUAUUUUGAGAUUGUACCUCAUGCAGCACUAUUAUGACCAUAGGUGACUGAUAUAAAAAGUAAGGAAUUAUGAAUCAUAAGAAAAAGAUGAACCAAGGAAAGAAUCAGCUUUGAAGAGGUGGUAAACUAUGGGAGUUGGGUAUGCUUUUCUGCAAUGAUCUUGUCUUAUUUUCUUUUUUUUUAAAGGAAGGCCUACCUGAAUAAUUCUGUGCAGGAAGAUAAAAGCAAGAUUAGAGUGAGACCUAUUCAGGGAGGUGUCAUUUUGUGAGCAGUUCAUGACCAUACCCAAUAAUCAGGGUCUGUCUACAUAUCUGAAUUUUAAUCCUUACAUAUAUGGCCUUAGAUGAACUAAAAUAAUUAUAAGAAGUUGUGUCAUUGUAGACUUCUAUUAAUAAACAUAUACCUACAUAUAUACAUGUUUAUGCACAAGAAUCAGCCUGUAUAGGCAUAUUUACCUAGGCAUAUUCAUUGCAUAGUGCUCUCAUGGUUGUGACUUGGGUGGGUGUAGCAAAGUGACAGGCCAGGAUCUCACCACAUAGGAAGAACUUUGGUCUGGCCAAGACAGGGCCAGCUAGUGGCCUCCCUGCCAUUAGCUCUGUCUGCCACCCAAGACAGAAGAAGCCAACAGUCCAAAGGGACAUAGCAGCUUCAUUUUGGUUCUAGUUAGUGGUGCCAUAGAAGAGGAACAGGCAGAUAGGAUCUCAUCUAGGCCAUGAGACAAGCAAGAGUUCUCAAGAAGGGUAGACUCUUAGAAACAGGAGGCCAGUGAGACAUGGAUCUAAGAGGCAUAGCCAGGUAGAAGCAGCCCUAGUCAAUGGCUAGAAGUAUAAUAUCCCAAUAAAAGAGGCAUUCUUAGAAAGCUGGGCAGCAUCUCAGGACCAC
rnacentral:lncRNA from 1 species